GUCUGCAUUAGCCUAACUACUCGAACACACCCAUUGCCUGUCAUGUACAUAGCAAGGCAGAUUUCUGGGCGACACGACCAAAUGUACAUAGAAAUGUUAAGUAUAGAUCUGUCAUACUCAUCGAAAGUAAGUCUAAGAAGCAGUAGAUCCGUUCUAUGUGCCCUAUUUCUAACAUGUCGGUUAAAUUGUGUUUUUUCAUCUUUUUACUUUCGGCUUUGUACAACGGCACCUGACAGCUGAAAAUACAAUAUUUUAUCGAAAGGAUAUUUCACAGUGCUUUAGAUUGUACAAUGAUUAGCUUGUUUUGUUUCAUAAACUGAAAUUAGGCGAACCAUUAUAAUUUUAGCAACCAGGAACUUUUGGUGGACUGACGCAUAUAUUGCAUGAGGUGGCCUCAAACGCAGAUCAGACCAGAGACAGAACGAACAAAAGCAAACGGACCGAAAGCAUGUGUAAUAGCAUCCAUGUGACAGGGACGUGUUUGGCUCCUUGAACGUGAAGGGCACCUUCUCAGGCCGGUACUCCGUCAGCGCUGACUUCAAAUGUCUGGGGCCCAAAAAAGUCCUCAGAGAGGCCCUCCACAUGGCCUCCACCCUCCUCCAGGUGGCAGGUCACAUGUUGAUCUGAUCAAGCGGAUCAUCGAGGGAGCAGAGUUCUGGCAACCCCAGAGGGUGGAGGCCGCAGAGUGCUGGAACUAAGGCAGUACUGGGACUGACCGCUCUCUAAUAACCAAAUCAACUUGAGUGUAUGUUUAUGAUUGAGUUAUGCAAUGUUGUGAGUUGUGAUCAAAAAGGAGGAUAAUUACACAUUGUUUAGCUUUUUUAUAAGGUUAGUUUUAAAAUAGGAUGUAUCUUUCUCUAAUAAUUCUCAGAAUGUACCAGGAAAAUCCACAAAUGCAAGCAAUUAAUUAAAAAAACUGAGUAUGCAUUAUUUGUCACUUUCUUUGUAGUUUCUAAUCACUGUCUCAUCUUGUGUUCAAUAAAUGCUUUCAGUUGUGACAUCCACUCAGUCCACUAUCAGAGACACCCACUUGCAGAACAUGGAGAAACAGUUCUGUUAAUUCAUAAAAGGGUAUGAGAAAACCUGCCCAGCACUUGAGGAACCAACAGAACUCAACAUAAUCUGAGCCUUUAGAUACUGUACCUUUAAUUAGGCUAUAACUGAGUUAAUU